rnacentral:miRNA from 1 species
ACCUUAGAGACCAACUAAGUUUGUUAUUGGUAUGAGCUUUUGUGUGCACGCACUCUUCUUCAGAAAGCUCAUACCAAUAACAAACUUAGUUGGUCUCUAAGGU